rnacentral:misc_RNA from 1 species
GAUGAAGAACGCAGCGAAAUGCGAUAAGUAAUGUGAAUUGCAGAAUUCAGUGAAUCAUCGAAUCUUUGAACGCACAUUGCGCCCGCCAGUAUUCUGGCGGGCAUGCCUGUUCGAGCGUCAUUUCAACCAUCAAGCCCCAGGCUUGUGUUGGGGACCUGCGGCUGCCGCAGGCCCUGAAAACCAGUGGCGGGCUCGCUGUCACACCGGGCGUAGUAGAUUUUAUCUCGCUCAGGGCGUGCUGCGGGUUCCGGCCGUUAAAAAGCCUUUUUUACCCAAGGUUGACCUCGGAUCAGGUAGGAAGACCCGCUGAACUUAAGCAUAUAAUAAGCGGAGGA